UUUAUUGGAGAGUUUGAUCCUGGCUCAGGAUGAACGCUGGCGGCGUGCCUAAUACAUGCAAGUCGAGCGAAUGGAUUAAGAGCUUACUCUUAUGAAGUUAGCGGCGGACGGGUGAGUAACACGUGGGUAACCUGCCCAUAAGACUGGGAUAACUCCGGGAAACCGGGGCUAAUACCGGAUAACAUUUUGAACCGCAUGGUUCGAAAUUGAAAGGCGGCUUCGGCUGUCACUUAUGGAUGGACCCGCGUCGCAUUAGCUAGUUGGUGAGGUAACGGCUCACCAAGGCAACGAUGCGUAGCCGACCUGAGAGGGUGAUCGGCCACACUGGGACUGAGACACGGCCCAGACUCCUACGGGAGGCAGCAGUAGGGAAUCUUCCGCAAUGGACGAAAGUCUGACGGAGCAACGCCGCGUGAGUGAUGAAGGCUUUCGGGUCGUAAAAC
rnacentral:rRNA from 1 species